GGUGAACCUGCGGAAGGAUCAUUGUCGAAACCUGCAGAGCAGCACGACCCGCGAACAAGUGGAAGCAUCACGGGCGUCGGGCCCCCGGGCCGGUCGUCCGCAGCCCGGGCGUGGGAGCGCGGGAGACCACUCCCCCCCACGCCUUGGGCGCAAAACAACGAACCCCGGCGCGAAUUGCGCCAAGGAACCGAAAUAAGAUGCGCCCCCCUCGUCCCGGAGACGGUGUCGCGAGGGGUCGGCGUCGUCGUUGAUACGACAAAAACGAAACGACUCUCGGCAACGGAUAUCUCGGCUCUCGCAUCGAUGAAGAACGUAGCGAAAUGCGAUACUUGGUGUGAAUUGCAGAAUCCCGCGAAUCAUCGAGUUUUUGAACGCAAGUUGCGCCCGAAGCCGUCAGGCCGAGGGCACGCCUGCCUGGGUGUCACGCAACGUCGCCAACACCACCCUCACCACCCCCCGGGGAACGGCGCGGGUCGGCGGAUAUUGGCCUCCCGUGAGCUCCCGCCCGCGGUUGGCCGAAAAAUCAGGCCCACGGCGAUCGCAGCCACGGCACGCGGUGGUCGAAUGCGUUAGCUCCCUCGAAAACCGCCGUGGCGACCGUCGUCGCGCUGGAGCCAAGGACCCCGACGCGAGCAAGCGUCAUCAGAAAAGCGACCCCAUGAGUUUAAG
rnacentral:rRNA from 1 species